AAGACGCUAGUAAAACAGCACAUUACACAGCCUUGUCGAGACUGAGUUGCGAGUUAAAGUCCCGCGUGUCUUU